CUCUCUUCUUCCAUGUUAUGAUGCAGCAUGAGGCCUUUGGUAUAUGCCAGCUCUCGAACUUCCCCGCUUUCAGAACUGUGGUGCAUAAUCCAUGCUCCAAACACUGACAGACGGAACAAGAUACACACAGAGUGAAUCCAAUUCAUCUUCCAACGUUGGGGCGCAGUCGCAGCUGAGAGGCUCCCUCUACAAAGUCACUGAACCACUGAAGCAGAUAAAGCUGCAGCGCCAGGAGUCCCAUUUCCCUCUUCCUUUCUCCAGCCUCAGCAGCAGUGAGUAAGAUGAUGCUGGUUUACCAGAGCUGUCCAUCUGAGGGAAGACUCUGAACAUUUUCACUGCUACUCUCCUUAGCACCAAUGGGGGCCACUUGUGGAUCUAAAGGAGGCUGAGGACCUGUUUUCACAGAGAAGGGGAAAAACAAAUGAUCCACCCCAAAACACACCCAGGAGUCACAUUCAACUCUCCACAAAUGCAAACAUCACUUUGAACGGUUCUGGUAAAGUUUAUGGGGGUUUUGGUUUCAAUUUUAUUUCUGCUCUGAUCCUUAUUCUCUCUCUCCUCCUGAUAAUUUUGGGUUUUGAUUUAUUCCUGUUUUUGUAACUUCUCAAGAUGCAUCAUUAGAUCAUUUAUUUGAGACUUUUCUCUGUUUUUAAUGUAAGCACUUAAUGUUGUAAACUUCCCUCACUAUUGUUUGUGCUGUAUCCCACAGAUUUUGAUAUGUUGUGCUUUCAUUUUCAUUAAUUACAAGAAAAUUAUUUUAUUUCUUUUUUGAUUUCUUUGAUGACUCAUUGGUCUUUCAGUAGCAUGUUGCUUAAUUUCAUAUGUAUGUAAAUGUUCUAUUGUUUUUCUUGUUGAUUUCUAGUUUUAUUCUUUUGUGACCUAAGAAGAUACACGCUAUGAUUUCAGUCUUUUUAAAUUUACUGAGAUUUGAUUUGGGCCUAAUGUAUGCUCUACAUAAGAGAAUUUUCCAUUGGGUGGUGAGAAGAAUAUGUAUUCUGUAGCUGUUGGGUGAAAUGUUCUGUAAAUGUCCAUUAGGUCUAUUUGCUCAACAGUGUGGUUCAACUCAAUGUACCUUUGUCGAUUUUCUGUUUGUACGAUCUGUCUAGUGCAGUAUUGAAGUCUCCCAACUGUUACUGUAUUGGAGUCUAUCUCUCCCUUUUGGUCUAAUAGUAUUUGCUGUAUAUAUCUGGGUGAUCUUAUGUUGGGUGGAUAUAUAUUUAUGAUUAUUGUAUCUUUUUGCUGGGUCAAUGCUUUUACCAAUAUAUAUUGUCCUUCUUUGUCUCCUCACAUUUUUGUAUUUAAGUUCCGUUUUAUCUGAUAUGAGUAUAGCUACAACUACUUGUUUUUGGUUUCCAUUUGCCUGGUUAAUUUUUUUUAGUACUUAUUUGAAAUAGCUAGAGCGAUAGAGAGAGAGGAGAGACAGAGAGAAAGUCUUCCAUCCACUGGUUCACCUGGUUCACUCCUGCAGAUGGCUGCAACACCCAGGGUUGGGCCAGACUGAAACCAGGAGCCAGGAGCCAAGAGCUUCUUCCAAGUCUCUCACAUAGGUGCAGGGAUCUAAGCACUUGCGCUAUCCUCCACUGCUUUCUCAGGUGUAUUAGCAGAAAGCUGGA